AAGACAGUUCCAUUGAUUUUGGGGACUUCUUCAAAGGCCCAUUGCCAGGAAAGUUUCUCCAGCUUCUGGGAUUCCUGGCUCUGUCCCGUCUUGGAAUAUAUAUACCCCUUGGUGGGGUAAACAGAGAUGCUUUUGCUGGAAAUUUAGAUCAGAAUAGCUUAUUGAGCACUUUAGAUUCAUUUUCUGGGGGAGGCAUUGAUGAAGGGAACAAUACCGAGGGA
rnacentral:misc_RNA from 1 species